UAACGUAACUAAAAAAUAAUAAAAUAAAUAAAUGAAGAAGAAAACCAAAAAAUGUAAGAAAUGCACGUGUCAAAUUUUCGCGCGGUCGAACUAGUUCGUAGUUUCGAAAAUGACGCUAGAGGUCGUUACGAAAAAAGAGGAGGGAAAAGGUAAAGCGGAUAUCUUCUCGGCGCGAGCUAAUAGCGGGUUUUUCGUUUUGAAAGCAAAGGUUGCUCCGCGCGCGCAUGCGCAUUGCAUCGCAUCUUUCAAAAAGAAUCGAUAUUUGUCAUGCGCACACGUUACGUAUAUAAGCUCGUAAAUGAGCGUGACGAGUUAUUGAAGAGAAAUGGGAACAAAGAGGAAAGAGACGAAGUACAUCGAAGAGAAGUACGCGCAUUUUAUCGAACAUGCCGUAUCGUGAAUUUCAAGAGUAAGGAAAAAUAAAGGAAAAAAGAAUGUAAAUCGUCAUGAAAGACGCCGUUGCAGACGCAAGCACCGCCCACUUCUUUUCUUGGGGCGCGUUCCUGACCGUAUGGUGGGGAUAGAAGCGAGCCACGACGACCCGACGUUGGGAGUCGCGUGAAUUACCCGCGGAUUGGAAACCGUGUUAUGUCGAUUUUACAUAUGUGUAUAUGUUUAUAUAUAUAUAUAUAUAUAUAUAUAUAUAUAUAUAUAUAUAUGACAUAUAUAAGUAACAUUUGAUCUAAUCAAAUCAUUCUAUGGAAUAAUUCAUCAAUAAUACAAUGCAUAUUUACGAAGUGGUUGCGUCAAUGGUCGAAACUCGCACAUUGGCUUCAUUUUUCUCUCCAUCCAUCCUUAAAAUCUAUAUUUUCGAUAUGAUCAUUCGUUGUUACGCGCUUCAGGUCUCGUAUAUAUUCAUUUAUUUGGUCGAAGUGAUUUUAUGGGCAUGCGCGAGAGACAAGCACGUCCUCUUGCUCCUUCAUAUUCCUCUCCACGUUUCUUCACCCAUUCUAUUUGACUUUUGAUAUAUUCGUCUGUUCUCUACUCUAUGUAGACGAACCUGUCGUGAAAUGUGGUCUUUAGCCGGAAAGGAAGAAAUAAGAACAAAACCAACAAAAAAACAAGACAUUAUUACGUAUUACUAUUUGCCUACCUAAUCAUGAUGCAAUCUAUUUAUCUACAGAGAUAUAUUUCUUUACAUGUUAAACCAUUAAAAAUUUUAAACACGAAGUAAAAUUUCUUUUUUUUUUUUUUUUCUAUAGAAAAUCAUAUAUCCGAUUGUAUUUUUCUAAAAAAAAAAAGACCUAUCAUUCGAAGUUUAUUAUUGGUCUGAAAAAAAGAAAAAAAAAAAGAACAAAAAAAGAAAACAGAAGAUCGAGAAGAAAAAAACAGGAAAAGGAAAAGAAA